rnacentral:lncRNA from 1 species
UUUUACUCAUCCUGCUUUCUAUGGGAGCCAACCUAUAACCACCAGGCCAUGGCACCACCAACAUCGGGUUGGGCUGUCUCACAUCAAUCAUUAAUUAAGAAAAUACCCAACAAUACUUAUCUACAGUCAUAUCUUAGAGUAACAGUUUUCAAUUAAUGUUUCCUUCUGUCUAAUUUCUCUAGCCUGUAUCAUGAUUACAAGGAACUAGCCAGCACAUAUAUGGAACUCUUGGGCCAGUGACAGGAUCACCAACUCUGUCACAGUGUGCCAAGCCUCAACUGCUCUACAAGACCUCUUCUAGUCUUCACCUCACUACCUGAUUCCCAUUUAUACACGAACUUUGGCUGCCAGCAUGAAGUAUAUUCUUGAUCACCACUGGAAAACAGCUUCUGUGUGGUAAUCUCAGGGGUCUCUCCAUGCUGUUUAUGAUGAUCUCAAAUUCAGGCAAUGAGGACUUUCUGCUCUCCCAAGUUCCGAGAAGCUUUUCCUGAAUACAGUUACCAUAUCUAGCUGGUGAAUGCCACAUCAAUAACAGAAGUAUCAGUAAAAAGCUUCAGAAGCAACAUGGCUACUUCUGCGGGUACUGAGAAAUAUGUCUAAUGGU